rnacentral:rRNA from 1 species
CUAUCCGGAUAUAUUGGGUUUAAAGGGUGCGUAGGCGGCAAGGUAAGUCAGCGGUGAAAGACCAGGGCUCAACUCUGGAAGUGCCGUUGAUACUGUCUGGCUAGAAUGAUUCCGCCGUGGGAGGAAUGAGUAGUGUAGCGGUGAAAUGCAUAGAUAUUACUCAGAACACCGAUUGCGAAGGCAUCUCACGAGGGGUUCAUUGACGCUGAGGCACGAAAGCGUGGGGAUCGAACAGGAUUAGAUACCCUGGUAGUCCACGCAGUAAACGAUGAUGGCUACUGUCGGGCCUUCGGGUUCGGCGGCCAAGCGAAAGCGAUAAGCCAUCCACCUGGGGAGUACGACCGCAAGGUUGAAACUCAAAGGAAUUGACGGGGGCCCGCACAAGCGGAGGAACAUGUGGUUUAAUUCGAUGAUACGCGAGGAA